AAUUCAUUGAGGCUGGCGGGAAGGGGGGCGGGGACCGCGCAGUCUCUUUAAGGCGCUUCCAGUUCUCGGCUCCAAUCGCUGCUCUGACCCCCUUCAUCGUCUCCUCCCCUCUCCUCGUCCUUCCCUUCGUCUGUGCGGCUUCCCCAGCGCUGUGGGGCUGCGGACGGAGGGGUAGCCUAGUCCAGAAGUGUCUCUGGGGCUGUGAAAUGUCCCCUCAGAGGGUGGGUCCUGAGGAGAGCAGUCAGAAGCUGUGAUAGGCCAUCAUCUCUGUGGCUGAGCCUGCCCCCAGCCGUGUCCCAGGCUCCCCUCCCACCCCAGCUUCUGCUCUGCCAGAUAAGGAUGAAGCCCCAGCUCCAUUCUGGGGCAGGCCUGGACCCCAGAUCCGGAGGGGCAGAGCUCCCAAGGCCACUGGGCCUAAAGAGUCACGUCCCUUUGCCCAUCUUAUUGGUGCUCUGCACAGUCUGUGCCUGCUCCUCGCCUCCUGCUCGGGCUCCCAAGGCCACGGGUGGGUUGAGGAUUUGGCAGCCAGCCUUCUGGCCCAGCAGACGCUGAGAACUCGGGGGCAGCGGGAGGGACAAGGCACUACAAGGCCAUGCCUACAGCUGGCACCUCCCCUAUGG
rnacentral:lncRNA from 1 species